rnacentral:lncRNA from 1 species
AGAGCAGAGACAGGCUACCCUACUCCCAUGCUUCUGGGGAUUUACACUUUUGCUGAUCAGCUGGACAAGCACCAACAGCUAUAAGAAAACCAAAGAAAGGGAAGCCAUGUCCUUUCCACUAUGAAGGCUUUCAAAGGAAAGGAAAUAGGACACUGGCUGGAAUUCAGCCACAAAGCUUGAAUCCACAUGGUGACACUUUGAGAGAUCUUCAAAGUUCCUGCCCUCGGGGAAGUAGAUUCUCUAAGCAAGUCAUCUGGCAGAAGAACCCACUGGCAAAAUCUACUGAAAGAGGAUAAUGUAAAAUGACAGCUGUAAUGUUUUUGCAAAAGUUGAAGGCUCUUCCCUUCUAAGAAGGAUGAAGCAAGGAAAAACAUUGACUUUCACAGGAAAAGUCCACAUCCAAAUGAUGAGGGAAAAAAUAAAGAAAAAAUUCAGGACAAAUCUGAGUAGGAAAAUGUAAGAGGCACUAGAGAAGGAAGAAAAAAGAAUAUGAGAAGGAAGAAGAGAAUGAGU